CACGUAGGGCGCAAGGCGUUGUUCGGAAUUAUUUGGGCGUAAAAGAGCUCGUAGGCGGUCUGUUGCGUCCGCUAGUGAAAACCCGGGGCUUAACCCCUGGCUUGCAGUGGAUACGGGGCAGGCUAGAGUUCGGUAAGGGGAGACUGGAAUUCCUGGUGUAGCGGUGAAAUGCGCAGAUAUCAGGAGGAACACCGGUGGCGAAGGCGGGGUCCGUGGCCAGUACUGACGCUGAGGAGCGAAAGCAUGGGGAGCGAACAGG
rnacentral:rRNA from 1 species